GAUGAACGCUGGCGGCGUGCCUAAUACAUGCAAGUCGAGCGAACGGACGAGACGCUUGCUUCUCUGAUGUUAGCGGCGGACGGGUGAGUAACACGUGGAUAACCUACCUAUAAGACUGGGAUAACUUCGGGAAACCGUAGCUAAUACCGGAUAAUAUUUUGAACCGCAUGGUUCAAAAGUGAAAGACGGUCUUGCUGUCACUUAUAGAUGGAUCCGCGCUGCAUUAGCUAGUUGGUAAGGUAACGGCUUACCAAGGCAACGAUGCAUAGCCGACCUGAGAGGGUGAUCGGCCACACUGGAACUGAGACACGGUCCAGACUCCUACGGGAGGCAGCAGUAGGGAAUCUUCCGCAAUGGGCGAAAGCCUGACGGAGCAACGCCGCGUGAGUGAUGAAGGUCUUCGGAUCGUAAAACUCUGUUAUUAGGGAAGAACAUAUGUGUAAGUAACUGUGCACAUCUUGACGGUACCUAAUCAGAAAGCCACGGCUAACUACGUG
rnacentral:rRNA from 1 species